rnacentral:piRNA from 1 species
UGUAUUCAGUCAGUCUAAGAU